rnacentral:tRNA from 1 species
GCGCACGUGGUGGAAUUGGUAGACACGCUACUUUGAGGGGGUAGUUUCGGUAACGAUGUAGGGGUUCGAGUCCCCUCGUGCGCA